GGUCCUGGGGUCCGCCCCGUGGCCCCUGCCGGCUGCGGGCGCGCCCGGCCUGCUCCCCCCGCCCCUCUCCUUUCGAUUCUCGCGGGCCACACGGGGGUGCUGCGGCGGCGACGGCGACUCCGGUCCGGGCUCCCUGACCUGUAACCUCCCGGCGACACUGCCGAGCAGCCGCGUAACAAAGGAUCAAGGCUUUGUCUGUGAAAUAGCUGCAGGUGUAAGCUGAUGGCCGCUGGCAUUUUUCUUGGAGUUGUACUGGCUCAGCUCAAGAACCACCCCCUCCAAGUCAUCUUCCUGGAUUUACUUCGGCACCAAAGUUAGCCUUCUCUUUCCUGGAUCGCAGAAGAGUUUCAACGGUCAAAUAAGUUGGUAGAACUGUGAGUCCCGGAAAUAAUUCAAGAGGCCACCGAAGAAGAAUUCCAAAACGUGUGAAGAGAGGAAGGCGGAAGGCAGAAUGGUCAGGGACCCCGGAACCAGGGGACAUCAUGGUAGCAAGCGCCUGCGGUAAGGAGGGGAGCCGGCGCGGCACUUCCCAGCCCCCCAGCCUGGCGACAGAAGGCAGCUCAGAAAGAGAACACAAGCAGGGGAGAGAGACUCUUAAGCAG